GGGGCUAUAACUCAGUUGGUAGAGUGCAUGUUUUGCAAACAUGAAGUCAUCGGUUCAAGUCCGAUUAGCUCCA
rnacentral:tRNA from 1 species